rnacentral:rRNA from 1 species
AACGAACGCUGGCGGCAUGCCUAACACAUGCAAGUCGAACGAGACCUUCGGGUCUAGUGGCGCACGGGUGCGUAACGCGUGGGAACCUGCCCUUAGGUUCGGAAUAACUCCCCGAAAGGGGUGCUAAUACCGGAUAAUGUCUUCGGACCAAAGAUUUAUCGCCUUUGGAUGGGCCCGCGUUGGAUUAGCUAGUUGGUAGGGUAAAAGCCUACCAAGGCGACGAUCCAUAGCUGGUCUGAGAGGAUGAUCAGCCACACUGGGACUGAGACACAGCCCAGACUCCUACGGGAGGCAGCAGUGGGGAAUAUUGGACAAUGGGCGAAAGCCUGAUCCAGCAAUGCCGCGUGAGUGAUGAAGGCCUUAGGGUUGUAAAGCUCUUUUACCCGGGAUGAUAAUGACAGUACCGGGAGAAUAAGCUCCGGCUAACUCCG